AUGGGCGAAAGCCUGAUGCAGCAACGCCGCGUGAACAAUGAAGGUGCUUCGGAUGCGUAAAGUUCUGUUGCAGGGGAAGAUAAUGACGGUACCCUGUGAGGAAGCCCCGGCUAACUACGUGCCAGCAGCCGCGGUAAUACGUAGGGGGCUAGCGUUAUCCGGAUUUACUGGGCGUAAAGGGUGCGUAGGUGGUCCUUCAAGUCGGUGGUUAAAGGCUACGGCUCAACCGUAGUAAGCCGCCGAAACUGGAGGACUUGAGUGCAGGAGAGGAAAGUGGAAUUCCCAGUGUAGCGGUGAAAUGCGUAGAUAUUGGGAGGAACACCAGUAGCGAAGGCGGCUUUCUGGACUGCAACUGACACUGAGGCACGAAAGCGUGGGUAGCAAACAGGAUUAGAUACCCUGGUAGUCCACGCUGUAAACGAUGAGUACUAGGUGUCGGGGGUUACCCCCCUCGGUGCCGCAGCUAACGCAUUAAGUACUCCGCCUGGGGGAGUACGCACGCAAGUGUGAAACUCAAAGGAAUUGACGGGGACCGCACCAGUAGCGGAGCAUGUGGUUUAAUUCGAAGCACGCGAAGAACCUGACU
rnacentral:rRNA from 1 species